CUGAGAGCUCAGUGCCCCUCCAGGAGGGAGGGAAAAGCCACAGGCAGCCUUGUUUUCUUCUCAUUAGAAACCAAGUCCUAGCCCAGCAGAGGCACAUUCCAUAGGGGCUGGUUGGGUUUGAGUGGAGGCUGGAGCGCAGAAACAUUUUGGGUCCCCCUUCUUGCCUUCCUAUAACAAAAUCUCAGCAGUUGCUUAAAUCUCAGGAGGCCUGGGAUGAAACACCACCCAGGCCUGGCUGGACAGGAACAGACACAUGCCUGGAGCCCAAAUGCGACUCCAGGCUUUUAAGAGCUUGGCAUGACCCCAGUUAAGCAAUUCUGGAAUCCACAGAGACUCUCGCUUGACUCCCCUCUCCCCACACCCACUCUCCCGAGACCUUCCUGGAAAAAGCAAUGCAGGAUUGGCAACCACCUCGUGCUUCCUUUUUUCUGCCAGCCGUCUGUAUUUCCAAAGGAAUCAGGCCCUAAGCCUAACCACAGUGCUCAGUAAAUGGAGGCUGCUUUCUGAUUCUUUAAGCGACCUUACAGCAGGCAGCCAGCUCUUCCCCCCUCACUACAUGAAAGAGAGAGAAAAAGAGAGAGCGAGAGUGUGUGUGUGUGUGUGUGUGUGUUUCCUUUAAGGCAACACAAGAAGAAUUUGAUGUUUGGUUAGAUCUUACUAUUAUAUUUUAAAUGUCAUCUUUUAAGAGUCUUUUUUUUUUCCCUAGUUUCUAAGAUUCACUUUGCCUUUGGAUGGAAACUGUCUGCUGGAAAGACAGAGCUGCGCUGUGAAGGAGAGUGAAGCUAAGGCACGCUUAACAACGGCAGGCUCAAGUCAGAGUUAUGAAGCAAGAUCAGUCCCUGGGGUACAGAGAGUGAUACAUAGCAUCUGAUCUACCCUGGAAGACUGACAAGGCUGAUCCCAUCUCAGCAGAAUCUAAAUCGAGAAUAUGGCAGAAUAUCAUUGCUUUUGCCAGAACAACCAGAUGAAGAACAAAAAGUGAAUGUGCUCCAUUCCCUCAUGAGGCUUCUGAAGCUUUCCUUAUGAUCUGAUCACAACAAAGGAGACAGGCAACUGACAAAUAGCACGCUGGUCCUGAAACACUGCUGGCAUCUUUGUCAUCAGCCUUCCUGGCCCUUACAGAGAGAUCUGCAUUCAGCGCUCCAGCAAGGAACAGACACACAAAACUUCAGCCUCUCUCUUAAUAAGUCCUUGAUUUACUUGUCUCAAGGUAAGAGGACAGUGGUGGUAGGUUGAGAUUUUUCAGAGGUUGGAGUGAUGGCUUUCCAGCUCUUGUGUGUGGAUUACUAGGGUAAACCCAGAAGCAAGGAGUUUUAAACCAGCACCUCAGAUGAUUUAGAUGAAGAUGCAGGUGAGCAUCUUCAUAGGAUUAUCAGCUCGAAACCAGCUGUGCCAAUUUCCUGCUGGGAAACCUGGGGAGCUGGGAAAAGCAGAAAACUUAUCAAGCUCUGGUAAGAGUGAACUAAUUAUAAGUGUUGGUUGGACGCAGGAAAAUGUUUCCUUGGUGGGCUUGUGAGUACCUGGAAAAUUUCACGAGUGGCAGUGUACCUACUUCUCUGGAAUUUCCUGAAAAAUGGGAUCCUAAAAAUAGGCUGAGAAUUGGUCCAUGCGUCCUUUUCUUUUCUUAAAUCACCUUUUAAGUCACUGAUAAAAAUUUUAUUUUUAUUCAUUUAUUAUGUAUUUUGGAUUCAGGAGGUACAUGUGCAGGCUUGUUACACUGGUAUACUGUGUAAUGCUAAGGUUUGACGUACAGAUGGUCCCAUCACCCAAGUGUCAGCAUAGUACCCGAUAGGUAGUUUUUCAGCUCACACCCCCUCCCUCUUCUCCUAGGAGUCCCCUAUAUGUCCUUCAUAUACAUAUUGUCAGCUCUGUAUUUCUGCCCUGUGUGUAAUUUUCAUACUUCACAUUCCACCCUAAGGUGUGGAGCUCUUAAGGGUGGGAAAAUUCUGUUCAUUAUUGGCAUCCUUAGCCUGGUUCCCCAUGAGCUGACUCCAAUGUACUUACCUAGUUUCAUAGUCUGCUUCGCUGCCCACC